AAGGGAACCAUGAAGAGGAGCUUGGAGUGGGCAAGGGGAGGCUGAUAAAGCACCAGAGAAGACCUGAUUCAUCAAGUAUCAAUUCAUUUUGGUGAUUCUCACCUGGUUGGCAUGCAUGCACAACACGACAAGGCCAAACGUCUUCAGCCACCCUAGGACGGAGAGCCGCUGGUUGGCAUUUGACUGCAGUGUCUGUGGGUGUACCAGGAAUGGACAAUGGACCCGACACUACCAUGAUACACAUGAGUACAUGAAGGAGCUGUGGGACCUGACAUAAUGAGGAUAGGACAAAACAAAGUAGAUGGUGCAACUUGACCAUUCUUCCAUCUACUGUACAUUGACAUGGAGAUGAUCAGCAGCUUCAAGUUCCUGGGCACCCUGAUAUCCUUUUCUGUCCUCAGUUACUUCACUCAAAGUCCCACUUGUGCUUCUCCACUACCCUCAAACUUGCUGCUCCACGACCUAUGUACCAACUACAGUGUCUUUUAUUGCCAUAACACAUGUAAAUGAAAUGUCCAUAUUUACUUUAAGAUUUAUUUAUGUUAACAUUGCACAUAUUGU